CCACCAAAUAGGAGCGUCAACGACGGAGAUAGUCGCGCAACUGGCGCAGCUCGCCUCCCGCGACCCAGGGUGCGGAGUUGGCGGCCCAGCCGCACACCUCGAAAUGACCCAGACACGCACCCAGACCGUCCGCUCUCGGACAACGACAUCCAGCCUAGGGUGGUGGUAUCACUGCUGCGGUGAGGAGGGGUGACCUGGGGUCGCUCAGCUGAGGCCAAGCAGGAGAAACCUCCCAGAAAAAUUCCAGCGGGAGGAGGCGCCCCAGACCUGAGCCAAGGACUGUCCCCAAGCCCACGCCUGGGGGUUGAAGAAACUUUUAAGCAGGACCAAAUCACUCAUAUGUGAGCCAGUUGUGACCUGGGCCUGAUCCACUCUGCAUCAUUGCAGAUACCAAGCACUGUUACCAGUUGUCCACAUGAAAGAUGCUGCAGCAGGGAAUACACUCUUGAGCACCAACUGAUACUCAGGUCAUGUUCUUUACGUGCCCCAGUGGGAGCCAACUCCUGCUGUUGAUGUGGAGUACCUACAAGAUCAAAACAUCCUACAAUGUUGAGCCUCUACAAAAAAAGAAUGGACUCACCAGAUUGUCUUGCAGAUACAAAGGAAGCUGCAAAUGCAAGAAAUAAACAUCUGUCUUGUUAAAUCACAUCGAAUUGAUGAUAUUUAUACUGUAUCUUAACCUGGCCUGUCUUGAUAAUACACUAUAUAGUAGCAGUGAUGUGCAGAUUAUCUUGCAAAAUAAGGAUGAUCUUAAGUCAUCAGAGGAAGCGGGGGGAG
rnacentral:lncRNA from 1 species